rnacentral:rRNA from 1 species
UGGCGCUAUAGAACUCUGUACCGCAAGGGACCGAUGAAAUAGCAAUGAAAAACCCAAGCUACGAGCAGCAAAGAUAAACCCUUGUACCUUUUGCAUCAUGAUCUAGCAAGACUAACCAAGCAAAACGCAUUUAAGCUUGCCCCCCCGAAACCUGAGCGAGCUACUCACGAGCAGCUAAUUAUGAGCGAACCCGUCUCUGUGGCAAAAGAGUGGGAUGACUUGUUAGUAGAGGUGAAAAGCCUACCGAGCCAGGUGAUAGCUGGUUGCCUGUGAAAAGAAUCUAAGUUCACCCUUGACUUUGCCCCAUUCCCCCGGAUCAAACAACCCAACACCAAACCUACGAUGUAGCAGUCAAGAGAAAUUUAAAGGAGGAACAGCUCCUUUUAAAAAGGAUACAACCUCUCCCAGCGGAUAACCUCCGAGCAUUAAACCCGCCUGUGGGCCUUCAAGCAGCCACCAACAAAGAAUGCGUCAAAGCUCCCUAUCAUAAAAAAAUCUAAAAACGACAUGACUCCCUCACCCCCAACAGGCCAACCUAUGCCCAAUAGGAGAACUAAUGCUAGAAUGAGUAACUAGGGACCACCCUCUCCAGGCGCAAACUUACAUUCCCCCAAAUCAUUAACAACACGCCUGAUACUUUAACCCCAACAAGACCAAGUAUCUGACAUCUUGUUAGUCCCACUCAGGUGCGCCCAUCAGAAAGAUUUAAAUCUGCAAAAGGAACUAGGCAAGCACAAGGCCCGACUGUUUACCAAAAACAUAGCCUCUAGCAGAGCCAAGUAUUAGAGGUGAUGCCUGCCCAGUGACAUAAAAUGUUAAACGGCCGCGGUAUCCUAACCGUGCGAAGGUAGCGCAAUCAAUUGUCCCAUAAAUCGAGACUUGUAUGAACGGCUAAACGAGGUCUUAACUGUCUCUUGCAGAUAAUCAGUGAAAUUGAUCUCCCCGUGCAAAAGCGGGGAUGACUCCAUAAGACGAGAAGACCCUGUGGAACUUGAAAAUCAACGGCCACCACACAUCCCCCUACAGCCCACAGGGCCCACAUCAACAAGCACUGGCUCGCAUUUUUUCGGUUGGGGCGACCUUGGAGUAAAAUAAACCCUCCAAAAUUAAGACCACACAUCUUAACCAAGAACAACCCAUCAACGUGCAAACAGCAACCUGACCCAAUAACAAUUGACCAAUGAACCAAGCUACCCCAGGGAUAACAGCGCAAUCCCCUCCAAGAGCCCCUAUCGACAAGGGGGUUUACGACCUCGAUGUUGGAUCAGGACAUCCUAAUGGUGCAGCCGCUAUUAAGGGUUCGUUUGUUCAACGAUUAACAGUCCUACGUGAUCUGAGUUCAGACCGGAGCAAUCCAGGUCGGUUUCUAUCUAUGACCUGGCUUUUCUUAGUACGAAAGGACCAGAAAAGCAAGGCCAAUGCCACAGGUAAGCCUUCCCAAUAAGUAAUGACCCUAACUAAAUUACGAACUGGGCCCCAACUUCAACAUCCCUAAAAAAGGGUUGCUAGCGUAGCAAAGCCUGGUAAAUGCAAAAGGCUUAAGCCCUUUAACUAGAGGUUCAAAUCCUCUCUCUAGCUCCACC